rnacentral:misc_RNA from 1 species
GAUGAAGAACGCAGCGAAAUGCGAUAAGUAAUGUGAAUUGCAGAAUUCAGUGAAUCAUCGAAUCUUUGAACGCACAUUGCGCCCGCCAGCAUUCUGGCGGGCAUGCCUGUUGAGCGUCAUUUCAACCCUCGACCUCCCCUUGGGGAAGUCGGCGUUGGGGACCGGCAGCAUACCGCCGGCCCCGAAAUGGAGUGGCGGCCCGUCCGCGGCGACCUCUGCGUAGUAAUCCAACCUCGCACCGGAACCCCGACGUGGCCACGCCGUAAAACCCCCAACUUUCUGAACGUUGACCUCGGAUCAGGUAGGAAUACCCGCUGAACUUAAGCAUAUCAAUAAGCGGAGGA